UCGAAAGUAGAUUUCUCAAAAAAUCCAUGUGAGGAUUCGUGUACAAGUAAUCAAAUUUGUGUCAAAAAAUCAGGUUUUAUCGGAUGCAAACCACGAAUUCACGUUUUUGAUAACACGCUGACAGUAUAUAAGGCCAGGAAAACUCUGCCUAAUUACAUCAAAUCAUCAACUUUGUUCAAGAGAAUUACAUAUUACAAAUUUUACAAAACUAAAACAGUAUGGAGCUGUAUAAAUUUUUGUUUUUAACUGUGACAAUAAGUAUUGUACUUCUUUCAUCGCCAUUUUUUGGAAAAGCCGAUGCGCUUCUUCUCAGCUGUUUUUCCCAAUUAUUUGGAGGUGGACGCCAAGGAUCAUCAGGAUCAUCAGGAUCAUCAGAAUCACAUUGAAGAUGGGGUCUUUUU